rnacentral:rRNA from 1 species
UACGUAGGGUGCGAGCGUUAAUCGGAAUUACUGGGCGUAAAGCGUGCGCAGGCGGUUCGCUAAGACCGAUGUGAAAUCCCCGGGCUUAACCUGGGAACUGCAUUGGUGACUGGCGGGCUAGAGUAUGGCAGAGGGGGGUAGAAUUCCACGUGUAGCAGUGAAAUGCGUAGAGAUGUGGAGGAAUACCGAUGGCGAAGGCGGCUCACUGGCCCGAUACUGACGCUGAGGCACGAAAGCGUGGGGAGCAAACAGG